rnacentral:rRNA from 1 species
CCUACGGGAGGCAGCAGUAGGGAAUAUUGCUCAAUGGGGGAAACCCUGAAGCAGCAACGCCGCGUGGAGGAUGAAGGUUUUCGGAUUGUAAACUCCUGUUGUUAGAGAAGAGAAUGACGGUAUCUAACGAAGAAGCACCGGCUAACGCCGGGCCAGCAGCCGCGGUAAGACGGAGGGGGCAAGCGUUACUCGGAAUCACGGGGCGUAAAGAGCGCGUAGGCGGGAUAGCAAGUCAGAUUUGAAAUCCUAUGGCUUAACCAUAGAACUGCAUUUGAAACUGUUAUUCUAGAGUAUGGGAGAGGUAGGUGGAAUUCUUGGUGUAGCGGUCAAAUCCGUAGAGCUC